rnacentral:tRNA from 2 species
GGCGGGGUAGCUCAGCUGGUUAGAGCGUCGGAUUCAUAAUCCGGAGGUCGUGGGUUCGGGUCCCACCCCCGCUACAA